AGGCGAGUCUAACAUUCGCAGCAGCGUAUUCGAUUUCACGGGCUGUUAAGAUUCCCGUGAUGUGUGCAUCGGGAUUAAGUGCAGUUACAGCACCAAUGGCCAUCAUAGCAGGAGCUGCAGGAGUUGGUGUCGGGUCAGAGAUUAACAAGCUAAAUGAUGUGGUUGCGAUGAUUGCGGAAGUCAGGUCGAUUGCUGAUUCGCUAGGGUUGGCGGUGACCACUGGAAGUGAAUUAGAAAACAGAGGUUUGAGAGUGUAGACAGUUGGUUAGUUUGGUUUG